rnacentral:rRNA from 1 species
UACGGAGGAUCCAAGCGUUAUCCGGAAUCAUUGGGUUUAAAGGGUCCGUAGGCGGUUUUGUAAGUCAGUGGGGAAAGCCCAUCGCUCAACGGUGGAACGGCCAUUGAUACUGCAAGACUUGAAUUAUUAGGAAGUAACUAGAAUAUGUAGUGUAGCGGUGAAAUGCUUAGAGAUUACAUGGAAUACCAAUUGCGAAGGCAGGUUACUACUAAUGGAUUGACGCUGAUGGACGAAAGCGUGGGGAGCGAACAGG